rnacentral:rRNA from 1 species
CCUACGGGUGGCUGCAGUGAGGAAUAUUGGUCAAUGGACGAGAGUCUGAACCAGCCAAGUAGCGUGAAGGAUGACUGCCCUAUGGGUUGUAAACUUCUUUUAUAUGGGAAUAAAAUGUUCCACGUGUGGGAUUUUGUAUGUACCAUAUGAAUAAGGAUCGGCUAACUCCUUGCCAGCAGCCGCGGUAAUACGGAGGAUCCGAGCGUUAUCCGGAUUUAUUGGGUUUAAAGGGAGCGUAGGUGGAUUGUUAAGUCAGUUGUGAAAGUUUGCGGCUCAACCGUAAAAUUGCAGUUGAAACUGGCAGUCUUGAGUACAGUAGAGGUGGGCGGAAUGCGUGGUGUAGCGGUGAAAUGCUUAGAUAUCACGAAGAACUCCGAUUGCGAAGGCAGUUCACUGGACUGCAACUGACACGGAGGCUCGAAAGUGUGGGUAUCAAACAGGAUUAGAUACCCUGGUAGUC